rnacentral:rRNA from 1 species
GAUGAACGCUGGCGGCGUGCCUAAUACAUGCAAGUCGAGCGAACGGACGAGAAGCUUGCUUCUCUGAUGUUAGCGGCGGACGGGUGAGUAACACGUGGAUAACCUACCUAUAAGACUGGGAUAACUUCGGGAAACCGGAGCUAAUACCGGAUAAUAUUUUGAACCGCAUGGUUCAAAAGUGAAAGACGGUCUUGCUGUCACUUAUAGAUGGAUCCGCGCUGCAUUAGCUAGUUGGUAAGGUAACGGCUUACCAAGGCAACGAUGCAUAGCCGACCUGAGAGGGUGAUCGGCCACACUGGAACUGAGACACGGUCCAGACUCCUACGGGAGGCAGCAGUAGGGAAUCUUCCGCAAUGGGCGAAAGCCUGACGGAGCAACGCCGCGUGAGUGGUGAAGGUCUUCGGAUCGUAAAACUCUGUUAUUAGGGAAGAACAUAUGUGUAAGUAACUGUGCACAUCUUGACGGUACCUAAUCAGAAAGCCACGGCUAACUACGUGCCAGCAGCCGCGGUAAUACGUAGGUGGCAAGCGUUAUCCGGAAUUAUUGGGCGUAAAGCGCGCGUAGGCGGUUUUUUAAGUCUGAUGUGAAAGCCCACGGCUCAACCGUGGAGGGUCAUUGGAAACUGGAAAACUUGAGUGCAGAAGAGGAAAGUGGAAUUCCAUGUGUAGCGGUGAAAUGCGCAGAGAUAUGGAGGAACACCAGUGGCGAAGGCGACUUUCUGGUCUGUAACUGACGCUGAUGUGCGAAAGCGUGGGGAUCAAACAGGAUUAGAUACCCUGGUAGUCCACGCCGUAAACGAUGAGUGCUAAGUGUUAGGGGGUUUCCGCCCCUUAGUGCUGCAGCUAACGCAUUAAGCACUCCGCCUGGGGAGUACGACCGCAAGGUUGAAACUCAAAGGAAUUGACGGGGACCCGCACAAGCGGUGGAGCAUGUGGUUUAAUUCGAAGCAACGCGAAGAACCUUACCAAAUCUUGACAUCCUUUGACAACUCUAGAGAUAGAGCCUUCCCCUUCGGGGGACAAAGUGACAGGUGGUGCAUGGUUGCCGUCAGCUCGUGUCGUGAGAUGUUGGGUUAAGUCCCGCAACGAGCGCAACCCUUAAGCUUAGUUGCCAUCAUUAAGUUGGGCACUCUAAGUUGACUGCCGGUGACAAACCGGAGGAAGGUGGGGAUGACGUCAAAUCAUCAUGCCCCUUAUGAUUUGGGCUACACACGUGCUACAAUGGACAAUACAAAGGGCAGCGAAACCGCGAGGUCAAGCAAAUCCCAUAAAGUUGUUCUCAGUUCGGAUUGUAGUCUGCAACUCGACUACAUGAAGCUGGAAUCGCUAGUAAUCGUAGAUCAGCAUGCUACGGUGAAUACGUUCCCGGGUCU